GGAGGGGGUGACUAGUGACAGAGUGCGGGAGUGGGUGACUAGUGACAGAGUGAGGGGAUGACUAGUGACAGAGUUAGGGAUGGGGUGACUAGUGACAGUCACCAUCUCCCUCCCUCUGUCACUAGUCACCAUCUCCCUCCCUGUGUCACUAGUCACCAUCUCCCUCCCUCUGUCACUAGUCACCAUCUCCCUCCCUCUGUCACUAGUCACACCCUCCCUCAC